CUGCAGAAACAAGUGAUUGUUGAGAAAAUCGGUGAACCGGGUCAAACCCAUGAGGACCUUGCUGCAAGUCUUCCAGCUGAUGAAUGCCGCUAUGCCAUUUUCGAUUUUGAUUUUGUCAGUUCUGAGGGUGUCCCAAGGAGCAGGAUUUUUUUCGUGGCAUGGUAACUAACUAACUAUACUAUCUCUGCUAAAACCUGUCUAUCUUGGUUUCACAUUCUUUUCAUUAACAUUUCUUCUUGUUUUUUUUUUGCCAGGUCUCCGGACACAGCAAGAGUGAGAAGCAAGAUGAUCUAUGCGAGCUCCAAGGACAGGUUCAAGAGAGAACUAGACGGAAUUCAGGUCGAGCUUCAGGCAACCGAUCCAACCGAGAUGGAUCUUGAUGUUUUCAAAAGCCGAGCCAAUUGAUGAAAGAAAUCCCCUGAAAAUUUCGGUUGAAUCAAACUUUUUCGUACUAUUACUCAGUGAUGCUUUUUCCUAAAGUUUGCUGUGACGGUACCAACCUGAACAGCUUCAUUUUAUCAGUUUGGUCUUUGUCUUUGUCUUUGGUCUCCUUUUUGGGUCCUUAUAGUGUUGUCUUAAAACUUAAGGAAUCUGGCUUGUGCUCUUUACCAUUGUGGAAGAAAUCGAACCCUUUAUUAAACAAGAAUCCUAUUGGCACAUCUUGUCUUCACAUAAUGAAAACUAAUGAUCCAGGGAUUAAAAAGUUGUGAAAGUUUUAUAGGCAAGUUGAUACUGUGCAAAGGUAAUAUACAUUUUCAAACAUAAGGAUCUCUGGAUUGAUAGAAUUUCAUUUCGUACACGACUAUUCACAUAUUCGUCAAUGCGACUAUUUCAGGUUCAAAGUAUUAGGAAUUUAGGAUAGUUCCAAUAACGAGAAGAGUUGCUCAAUCGAGUUUGGUCCAAUAAGAUAAACUGACCAUCAAACAUAAAAUCCUAAUCGAUACUUUUGAUUAUUUGGAAACAGAUCCAACCAUUGGCAGUUGUCCAUUGCUCAUUCUACGCAAUCUUUCAACUGUCAAAUCUUAGCCCAACAAAAAUACUUAGAUGAUUAUUAUAUGUUGACCAAAACAAUAAUAAUAUGCUUACCAUAUAGUUUAUUAAUUCAUAAAUAAAUUGAAGAAUACGAAAUUACGAAGAAAAUAAAUAAAAAUACAAAAAGCAGGUUCUUCUCUAUAUAUUCGGAAUUUAGCUUCCAAAUAACGCAGAAGAAAGUAAAGAGAGAAGAAGCAAAAAGAGUCAUAUUCGUUGAAAACAUCAUUCACUCUUCUCUGCGUCUCCUUCUUUCACCCGAAAUUGUCUCUGACACCGUUUUGAUUCAGCCAUGGUGAUACUACAUUUUCACUUCUUCUUGUUCUCUUUUUGUUUAUUUCAGUUCUUCAAUUUUUAGGCUCGAUUCUCGAUUUUUGCUUUCGUCUCGGAUUUUGAAUAACGAUUUUGGCUCACUAGAUCUGGUAUAUGGAUUUGUUUUCUCCGAUUUAGAUCUUUGAGAUUUUGUGUUGAUGUGAUCAGAGUUAGUGAUCCACUUGUGCUUCGUAAGUUAGAAUCGAAAUCAUGAAGGAAUCUGCUAAUUUUGUGUGUGUGCUUUCGAAGUUUCAUUAACUAUUGAACGUUUCUACGACCUUAUUCGAUUGUUUGAUCCAUCAGGCUUGUUGUGUGUUGAAGUUGCAAUUGAAGUCUAAAUCGUUGCUAGAGAUGUAUUAACGAGUUUAUGUGUGAGCUAUUCUAGUUUUAGAGGUUUCAGGAAAUUUCUAAGAUUCCUAAAUAAGAGAUUCUUGGCUUUUAGUAUUGUGUGGAUUCAAUUAUAGGCUAGCUUUGUGGGAUCUGGGAUGUGAAUCUUAGUGCUUCUGUUGUUUUAUUGAAAUCAGGCUAAUGCUGCGUCAGGAAUGGCAGUCCAUGAUGACUGCAAGCUAAGAUUUCUGGAACUGAAGGCGAAAAGGACACACCGUUUCAUUGUCUACAAGAUUGAGGAGAAGCAGAAGCAAGUGAUUGUUGAGAAAGUUGGUGAACCUAUUCUAACUUACGAGGACUUUGCAGCAAGUCUUCCAGCUGACGAAUGCCGAUACGCCAUUUAUGAUUUCGACUUUGUCACUGCAGAGAAUUGCCAGAAGAGCAAGAUUUUCUUCAUUGCAUGGUAACAUAAUUUCUUGUUAUCUGCUAAAACCAUGUAACCUCAUUUCUCUAUUCUUACCUUGUUGUUGUUGUUGUUGCUGCUGCUGC
rnacentral:lncRNA from 1 species